rnacentral:lncRNA from 1 species
GCUACGUGGGCUCCGGGAUGUGCGGCUGGUCUUUCCCCGGGUCGGGCCGUGCGCGCCGGGAGGCGCAGGUUGCCGCUGGCUACGAGCGCGGCUGCCGGCGGGCAGAAGCAGCUCCCCGCCGCUAGGACCCCUGCGAGGUUUGUUGCCGAGUGAGGGUGGUACGGCAGGUAAACUGAGGAAGGCUGCAGCUGGCGUGCUGCAGUCACAGGUUGUCCAGCAGCAGGUAAACCUUAGGAGGAACUGGUCAAAGGAAACAGUGCUUUCUGGAACUGUCAAGUUCUUGUUCAGCAACUCAGUGACUAGUUUGAUCUACUUCUCAGAUGUAGAGGUGUCUCGCACAGGCUCAGUGGGGCCAAACUGCACUCAGAAGAGCAGCACGAGAAGGGCAGGCUGGUCAUGAGCUGGGUUGGAGCAGAACAGCCAAGUAGCACAAGGUGACUAUGAAAGGUGUCCAUCUUGCUUUGUGGGUGCCAUGGCAGGCUCUCCACAGAAGUGGCUGAGGAUUUGAGAUAAGGCCAGAGAGUGACAAGGAGCAGCACGUGCAGGGAUGGUUUCCAGGCGCUGCGGUGGCUUUCUCUUCUGUUCAUCAGGUGCCACAGGCAAGGUGAGUUGUAACAUCAGUCUUUAUAAUCACAGGAAAGCAGGCCACUUGAAUGCUACAGAACAUCUGAGAAGGAUGUUCUAGCAGAAAAAGCUUGUCUGGCACAGCAGAGCCUGAUGGCAGUGUGUUUCCUCAGGUGAAGAGGUGCCUGAAGCCCCAUCUUAUCUACCCUGCACACACUUAUCUGAGAAUGAAAGCUGCUUUCCAGUAAUUCAGAAACCCAGGUUACAUCUCAGCCUUGAGUAUCUCGGGCUUUUGCCUGGGCUUUUGGGCCUGUCUGUAACAUUUGGCACCAGCACUAAUACUUUUUUUGGUGUAUGUUUAAUGUUUGGGGCCUGUGUCUGGGAUUUGGGACCUGUCUUGAACCACUGGGGCUUUGUCAUGGGUUUUGGAGCCUGCCUGUAGAGUUCAGGGCCUGUGAUUAGGCUUUUGGGGUCUGUGUCUGGGGGUGAGGGGGUUGGGGCCAGUGUCUGGGAGUGAGAGGGGAGCUACUUGUAGACCAUUGGGGCCAGUGUUGAGGGGGUUGGGAGCUGAUUGUACACCUUUGGGGAGUGCCUCUGGGUGUCUGUGUCUGUGUGUGUGGGGGGGUGUUAGGAGCUUCUUGUACACUGUAGGGGUCUGCAUCUGUGGGGGAGGAUUGGGAGCUACUUGUACACUCUAGGUGUCUGAGUUGGGGCUGGGGGGGGGGAGGGGUUGGAGCUGGUUGAACACUGUAAGUAGUGUAAUACACCAUAAAUGUUUGUUCAUUGUCUUUUGUAUUAUAAAAACAAGGAGUUCUGUUUGAGGACUGGGAGUUGCGAAAGCUCCCUGCUGAAGUAAGGAGCUGUAUAAUGCUUGGCUAGACACUAUGAAAAUUCUUUUGCUCAAUGUAACAAAAAAGAGAACCCCCUCCCCUUCUCUCCUUCUGCAUCUCAGUUGGCUCUUUUGUUCAAAGACACUGCUGCAAAGCUCAUGUAACCAUCUCCUGACAAGUUGCUAAACUAGUGUAUCAACAUCCUGCCUUCCUGUCUCACUCUGCGCCAACAUGACCAAAUAAAAAAAGAAGUUGAACCACAACGCCGAGGAAGACUACAGCCUUCAUCUUCACGACCACCAGAGGGACAGAGAUGACCCCCUAGCAACAGUGCGCGCAGUUGCAGAAUAUACCAGGAUGUGCUGUGUAAUCCCGGAAUUACCAAGAUAUAAAAAGGGACCCUGGCGGGGGUGAGGUGCGCGCCGUUGGCGGAGCCGAGACUCCGCGGCCGCCCAGUGCUGUUUUGCUUGCUGUUGGCUUACUCAAUAAAUUCCUUUAUAUGGUUAAUACAAUGCUCUCUGAAAAAUUAAGGGGGCAAUUUAUAACAGGUAGGGGCCUGCUUCUGGGGGGGGUUGGGACCUGCAUCUGGGGGAGGGGUGGGAG